rnacentral:lncRNA from 1 species
AUGCAUGGGCCCUGUGCUCCUGCAGCUUCCAGAGAGUGCUGGGGCAACCACAGCAGCUGCAGGGUGCACAGGGUGGUCCCAAGUCACAGCUCUGCCACUAUGACACAUGGCACAGGUGGGUGUGAUGAGGUGGCCUUGCACGGCCGCGAGGCAGCCAGGCCAUGCAGCUCUGGUCGGCGCUGUGACAGCACAGGAGGUGCUUCCAGACCAUUCCUUCCGCAGACAGUUGCAGCAAAGUCCUUUUUAAGGCCUGUAGUCGAGCUGAAGUCGGGGUCCAGCCACCUCCCCACUGGGUCCAGCACCCUGUCGCCUGCACUGAGGACAGCAGUGGGCAGUGGCGGCUUCUUGGCCACUGCCAGCCCAGAAUGCACCUGAGCAGAACCAGGAUCCAGAAAGGCGGGGGGCCAGGAUGGAUCCCCAGUGGAGAAUGCAGUCAUGCACCUGAACAGAACACAAGUGUCUGGGAGCUCACUCUAAGCUGUGCAACUUAGCUGCAAGGUGAUGUGUGAGGAUGGAACAGAAUCACUGCCACAGUCACACUGCAGCACCAGCAAGCUAUUUGGUCCUGAGCGCAAGUGUAGCAGUAAUGCCUCUGGGUACAAACACCACUUUGUGGUAGACAAUUCCAUUUGUUUCUUUGAAUUGGACUCUAAUUAAAUCUGUCAGUGGUUCUCCUGCCAAAGAUCUGCUGCUACAUCUGUGGGCAAAACCAUAUCAAAUACCUUUCAGAGUCAGCUGCUUUUUACUGUUCAGAUUUAUGAAGGGAAUGUAAACAGGAAAAAAAUAUAUCCUGCUAUCUUCCCACCUAGGAAACAGUCUGAUAGGCGGAACCUUAAACAGUUCAGUAUUUUGGUAAUGAGUCUAACUUUCUGUACGGGAAAUGAAAAUAUCAUGAAUAAUAUUUGAAUAUGUAUCUCUUUUCCACCAAUAACUGCAUUAAAAAUUCAUGGCAAAAUAUUUUCUUUCUUCUAAAGAGAUGUUGUAGCUGUUUUAUUUUAUGCUCAAUGAAGCCUGUAAAGCUAUCCUGCUAUCUGUCAUGGGCUGCAAUCCUGGUACUUUCCCAUACCUUUACAAGAAAAUUGUCCCAGCUGUAUUGCAUUUCUGAUUGAGAAGCCCAGAGAUCAGUAUUCUCUUCGAGCACACCCUGGAAGUGAACACAAAGCAUCCAUCAAUAGCCCACUGCAAUUAGGAAUUAGGUUUCCCUUCAGGAACAGAGCUUCUGGGGCUUGUCAGCAUGCCCCCUUCCUAUACACCCAGCUUUAU